UACGUAGGUGACAAGCGUUAUCCGGAAUUACUGGGCGUAAAGCGCACGCAGGCGGUGCGGUAAGUCUGAUGUGAAAUCUCCUGGCUUAACUGGGAGGGGUCAUUGGAAACUGCCGUACUUGAGGCGAUGAGAGGGGUGUAGAAUUCCCGGUGUAGUGGUGGAAUGCGUAGAUAUCGGGAGGAAUACCAGUGGCGAAAGCGACACCCUGGCAUUAGCCUGACGCUCAGGUGCGAAGGCGUGGGGAGCGAAC
rnacentral:rRNA from 1 species